rnacentral:lncRNA from 1 species
UACCUAAAGGUGCUCCUCUAAUCCUCCAAAGAUCGGUAAACUUUCCUUCUCCUUGCUACUCACGACUAGUCUUCUCUCUCACAAAUACUUAGCCCAAAAUCCCUCAUUUUCUCUGGUUCCCAUUUUUCUCUGUUCUCUUAUCUGCUAACCUCUUCUUGAAUAUUUUUCUCUAAAACCAAGCAAAAAUUUCUCCUGCACUCAUCCAAUUAUUUUUCUUUAAAACCCCUAUAAAAUUAGUAAACUCACAGUUUUCUCUUUUUCUCACCAUCCCCUCUUAAAAAAUUUGAAUUCUUUCUCAUCCUAACAUUUUUCUUUCCUAUCUGUGAACUUUUUUUUUCCAAAGCCACCCUCCCAACAACCUACAAAAUCCCACUUUAAAGAAACGACUUCUCAAAAAGUCCCUCAACAUGUUGUCCUACCAUUGGUUUUCAUUUCUCUCUCCCUAACUAACCUAAAAAGGAAAAAAACCACCCUUGCAAAAUAUUCUUCUAGCUAUUGGUCUCUCACUCCCCUCUAUAGAGAAGGUCUCCACUAUCCGAUCCAAAAAGAGAGGUCUACAAAUAUGUCAUUCUUUGGUAGAGCUCACAAGUGUAAGGAAUAUGAACACUAGAGUGAAAAAAAAGUGUGAAUAGUGAGUGGAAUGAAGUGAACUUUAUCGAAGAAAAAGAGACCCAUAAAGGCACGUACACUAGUAAAACACAAACUCGCUCAAGCCAACAAAAGAACAAAAAAUGCUCUAAAAUUGUAAGAGAAAAGUAGCUCUCAAAGUGCCUUUAAAGCUGCACUAUGGACCCAGAUUUCCUUUAAAACGUCUCCAAAGGCGACUAAAAAAAAAUGAUGUCAAAGUCAAGUAGUAGUCGAACCACCUAAGAGUACAGGAAAGAAUACAUCCAAAGGGAACAACCAUAUGUGUACUACAUGAGAACGCUAAAGCAUGAGGUGCCUAACAAUAUGACUGAAACAUGUGCCAUGAGCUCAAAAGACAAUGUUAUGUGCAAUAGAGAGAGAAACUCUAAAAUAGUUUGAUGAAAAAGUGAUAAGCACAAUGUAACGAAGUGAAAAAGAAGGCAAUGACUGCAAAGUUAUGAAGACAAGAUGUGCAAUGCUAGUGAAUAUGAAUGUUAGGAGCUAUGACUCUAAAUAACAAGGUUGAGGAGAAACGACUCUAAAUGUCAAAACGAAGGAAAUAUUGUGACUCUAAAUGCCCGAUUAAAUAUGAACAAUGCCUUUGAAUGCCAAAACUAAGGAAAGAUGGUGGCUUUGAAUGUCAAGUUGAACAAUGACUCUAAAUACCAAACUAAAAGAAAAUGACAACUCUAAAUGCCAAGCUAACCAAUGGCUCUGAAUGUCAGACUGAACAAUGGCUCUGAAUGCCAAACUAAAAACUAAUAGCUCUGAAUGCUAGGAAUGUGGCUCUAAAUGCCCAACUAGAGAAAGAUGAUGACUCUGAAUGUCAAACUAAAACUAAUAGCUUUGAAUGCUAGAAAUGUGGCUCUGAACACCGAAAAUGUGGCUUUGAAUGCCUAACUAGAGAAAAAUGAUGGCUCUGAAUGCCAAACUAAAAACUAAUAGCUCUGAAUGCUAGGAAUAUGGCUCUGAAUCCCGAACAAAAGAAAUAUGGUGGCUCUGAAUGCCAAGCUGACCAAUGGCUUUGAAUGCUAAACUAAAAACUAAUAGCUUUGAAUGUUAAGAAUAUGACUCUGAACGUUGAAAAAGUGGCUCUGAAUGUCGAAAAAGUGGCUCUGAAUGUUCAACUAUGAUGAGAUGGUGGCUCUGAAUGCUAUAACCGUGAAGAGAUGGUGGCUCUGAAUGCCAUAACCAUGAAGAGAUGGUGGCUCUAAACGUGGAAAGAUAAUGACUUUGAAUGCCAUAAAUGUGGCUCUGAAUGCCCAACAUGUCCUCAUAAGACCAUGCGAAAACGUCCAAAUAUGAUAUAAGUAACUAGACGAGGUUAUUCCUCUCAUCUGUAAAUAAAUACAGUCCAAUCCUCAACUUUCUAGGCUAGUCUGCUAUAUCGAAAUCAACAAUCUCAGUGUCUCCUAUAGCAAGUGAAACUCUCUAACCAGUGGGACUUAGAUCAGAAGCAAAAAAAGAGUCAUUAUCUGAAUCAUGUUGUGCAAUCCCAUUAUUUAUAUCAAAUAUCUAUGAUAUGGGUGAAUGAGAUGCAGAUAAAGUGAUGUCACAAGAGACAGACAAAUACUCGAAAAUACUCAAAUCCAUAAAUGAAGAAUCGUGAACAUCGUCAAAACAAGAGAUAAAUCCCAAUAAAACAUCAAAUGAAAAAUGUGGGUCCACAAAGUCAGUCACUCCUUCAAUUGGGCCAAUAGUACCCUUAAAUAAAUUAUCAACAACUAUAGCAUCCUUUGAAAGCUCUAGAGUAAGAGCAGUUUAGAUCUCCUCUACAACCUCGAUAGUAGACACUCUAAAGAGAUCAAAUGGCGAAGCAAGCUCAAGCUAAACCAUUUCCAUAAAUCUGACUCAUACUCAUUGCGAGCAUUUCAUCAAUGUACUCGUCAUGUGGAACAGUUUCAUCCACCAUGUCCCCAAUCUCAAUGAAUGUCCCAUACUCAUCGACCUCAUCUGGGAAAUAGAACGUCAACAGGCUUAUACAAUCUAGAGAUGAUGGGACGACCAAUGCAGAUGCGAAAAUGCCAGGAGCUCCAUCACUUAACUGUAGUUUAUGGGCGAAACAUUGAAGCUCAGCCUCUUGAACGACACUAAAUCCAUCGAUAAUCCCAUCUAAAUGCGUCUAUAGCUCCGAUGCCCUCACAAAGUAGUCCACCAAGCUCAUGUUGUAUGAGCAAACAUGAUAGUCAAAUGGUAUGUGAGACAAUUGAGCCCUUACCCUCUCCUUGUGUAGUUGCGUCAUAUAUCGAUAAUUAGACUCAAUAGGAAUGAACCCAAGUCCAAAUGGUGCAUCAUGAUCAACGACAACUAUAAACUCACUAGGCUCAUGCUGAUGUUGCCCUAACCCUAUGCCAGGCAAAAAAAACCAUACCCAUCAUCAUGUCAAGUACCAUUGUACUGUUGUGCUGAUCAAAUGACAUAGCCACGAAGUCUCUGCAAAAAUCCUCAAUCUUAAAAGUCUACACCUCAUCAAACGUGAACACGAUAAAAAAUAAGUCAUCCUCACUGUGAUUGAUUUGAAGCAUUAGCUCAGAAGAGACAAACAUAUCUCCAAUGGACUAUACCGUGAUGACUUUUCCAUCAUGGAUGAACUUCACCUUCUAAUGAAUCCAAGGUCAACAUAGUAGCAGGUUAAAGAAUGUGAGAAUCCUCAAAACCUAGAACAUAAUAGGAAAUGUAGCUGGAUCAAUCAAUAACUCAAUCUCCGAAGUGCCCAUAACCUCCCUCUUAGUGCUAUCAUACGCUUUGGCAGUCUAAGUAGAGGGACUAAAGUUUGAAGGUACGUGACCAAGAGCAAUAGUAGUAGCUAAGGGCCAAAUGUUUAAGGCCGAGUCAUUGUCCAAAAGGACAUAUGGGACUCGGUGGUUUGAACAACCAACUGAGAUGUGUAGAUAACGUGUAUGGUCUGAACCCUUGGGUAGCAAAUCAUCAUCUGAAAACACAAUGCAAGUGACUCUACCAACUGUCAUCAUGUGAAUUAACCCCUCGGGAGUAGUGGUAGUCUCGACCAUGAUCUUAUUCAUAGCUUGAAUCAAAGCAUCUCUAUGAAUGUUGGAAGAUGUCAAUAGGCUCCAAAUAGAUAUACAAGCCUGGGUGUUCUGCAAUUGUUUCAUAAUCUCAUUGUUUUUUUUCCUAACUUCCUCAUGAGAGGUUGCAUCCUCUAAAGGUCUAGCGGCUAUGGGAGGCUACUGUCGUACUACCUUACCCCCGCAAAUCACAUAUUGUAUAUUUGGAGUAUGAACCUCAUCAACAUCUGGGAUCAAAACAAAUGGAGUCUGAACACUAUAACAUGGGAAAGUCAAUGACUCAACAAUGGUCGAUUGUAUUGAUGUUACAUUGGAGACCAAUCUAAAUGGAAUGGGCAUCUAUGGGCCCAAGGUCACUCCAUCUACCUCAUAAAUCCCAUCCACUACAAUGGGCUUAGGCUCAGACUCAUCCCAACUUAGCAUGUGAAUGUGACCAUCAGGCUCAGCAAAAUCAAUGAAGUGUAUGUCAUCGACUGGAGAGAGAAUUGCGUGUGUAGUAUGGGUUGGUAAUGGGUUAGUGGUUACACUCGGUUGACCCAAGUGAACCAUACCCUGAUCUAUCAAAUCCUGAAUGGCAUGCUUCAAAGCAGUACAACGAUCAGUCUCAUGCUCUAGCCCAUGAUGAUAAGCACAAUGCAAAUCAAUCCUGAACUGUGGCGGGAUAGGCUGAGACAAUGGUCUAGGAGCAAGAGUUGUCAAUAACCCAACAUCUAUGAGCUUUUGAAGAGCUUGGCUCAACGGCAUACCCAACUGUAAAAACUAUCCUAUUGUCCUCAAAGCAAAAAAAAACAAAAGUCUACAGAGCUCUAGGUCUAUGAUAUGAAGUCUCGCUACAACCUGUGUUGCAUAGUAUGGAUAUAUUGGGGUAGGAUAUGAAGUCAGAGGUCUCUCUGUACCUUGUGUAGCAUAACAAGGCAAUGCUAGUAUGGGAGACAAGUAAGCCUAAUCAUACGACUGAGGAAAUGCUCGUGGCCUAUACUGGUGAAGUGGAUAAGAAGGGUAAGUCCAAAUAAGCUGUGGAAUUGGUUGAUGAUGCUUGGAAGACCUCUGACUAAUAGAAGUAAUAGCACCCACAUCAACUAAUAUAUGUUCUCCGGAUGGCUUCUUCCCCUUAGUAUCAACAAGAAAAAAAUUAAACCAUAAUCCUCUCGAAAUGCCAUCCUCUACAUCAUAUAAGGCUAAAACCAAAUAUCCAAAGUUUGUAAAAGGUACUUCGACCACAUGUCUAGCAAUCUUGGGUUGUGGACUCCUCAAAAUCAUUUGUAUCCGAACUCUCUUUGAUGGUCUAUCAACAAUCUCUGCUAUUUUUCCUCGCCAACGGGAGAUGAAUGAAGAAAUAAACUCGCCUGAUCUUUAUCUCAAAGCCUCAAGCUCUCUCCUCGACACAUCUACAAUAGUAUUAAAUGAAAAUUGUCGCAAAAAAUCCUAAGUGAAGUCAUCCUAAGCGAAGUCAUCCCAUGUCUUGCAUUGCGAGGACUCCAAAUAUGUGAACCAACGUUGGGUCAUGCCACUCAGAGAUAAUGGGAAUAGAGUGAUCAUUUAUGACUCGUCUAACCCAUGGGCCCUCAUCACAAUAUUGUAGAGUUGAAGAUGAAUACGGGGGCAACCAAUGCCCGUGUACCUCUCAAUGUCAGACAUCCUAAACUUGGUCGGUAAACUGGCUACUAGUAUACCCUCAAGAUCAUUCUAAACAAUUGAACUGUCAGAUACCCUCAUCUGCCUAAUACAUUGCUCAAUACAAUCCAUGCAUGUGUGGGUAUCCUUAGGGAUCGUGGUCUGUACUACUAUAGGUGGGGCGACCUUAGAAUGACCAUGUAAUAGAUAAGGUGAAGCCUAUGGCACUAUUUGACCAGAUGGUGGUAGCGGAGGAGGCAGUGAAUCAUAAGACGUUUCAUCCUAAACUAUGGGUUGUCCACUCUGCUAGUUGCCUAUCUCCUAUUUAAGAUUAGCCAAGGCUUCCUAGAUAAAAGCCAUGGCGACCGUGAACUAGUCAACUAUGACGGACUGCUAAUCCAUGUAUGAUAUCUUAGAAAUGCGAACUAAUCUACCCUCUACUCUGACCUAAGAUGGUUAUGAAACCAAGGUUUGGUUAAUCUUGAUUUUGAUGAUAACAAAACAAGAUUUAGAAUUAAUGAUCAUAUUUCGAGUGUGAUUAGGCAAAACGAUUUCCAAAGUAGCUAUCACAAAGACAAAUCAAGCCAAAGAGAAAUCAUGAAGAAGAAGACCACCUCAAAGAAAAGAGUUUUUCAAGACCCAAGAUUCAUAAGAUCUCUUUGUAAGGUUGUUGGUGCACUAUGACUUUCAUGCAUUUCAUUCUUUAUUUAUGCACCAAAAUCAUCAAAGAGUAAUAUUGUUUUAAAUAUCUUUAAAAUUGGAUGAUUUCAUGUUUUCAACUAAAACCUUGUGUUAAAUAAUUUUCAAACUUAUGUUAAAAGGUUUUAAGUUGAAAAAGGUUGGGUGUUGAGCCAAAAAAUGGCUCAAUCGGUUCAACCGGUCGAGGAGGCCAAAAAGUUUCUUUCUCCUAGUGGCCUUCUCUUCCCAAUUUAGGUCCGGUCAAGGUCCGGUCGAGGUCUGAUUAAGGUCCGGUUAAGACCCAACGGUCACUUGCCAAGCAUUAAAUGCUAACAGCUAGUCAACCGGUCGACCCCUAACUCAACCAGACGAACCCCCAAAUGGCUAAUUUAGUUUUUCUCUUCUAUAAAAAGGCUUCAAUCUUAUUGUUUCAAGAGCUUAACCUUUCUAAAUCCUUCUUGAUUAUAUUUGAGCCUUGGAAGAGUAUUUUUUAGUGCACCAUUAUUUCAAAACUUGCAUAUCUUUAGUGCACCAUUCAAUCCUAGUUUUUCUUGUAUCAUUUGAAUUUAAAGUUCUUGUACUAAUAUUUUUGUGAUCAUUCAUUUGUAAACCUUUGAGAGGAAGUCUCAAGUGUGGGGUAUCACUUGAGGGGUUGUUCAAGAGUGGGAUAUCUCUUGAGAAGUGUAAAGGGUGCUUGGAGUCAAAAGUCCAAGAGGGUGAAUUGGAACCAUAAUCCAAUUGUAUUGCUUGAAGGCUUGGUUUGGAAGCCUUGGAUUAGUGGAACCGCAAGCUUGGGAUUGAAGCUAGAAGAGAGUGGAUGUAGGCCGGGUUGCUCCGAACCAAUAUAAACUCUUGUGUUUGCAUUCUCUCUUUCCUACUCUUUAAUUUAUAUGCAAUUGUCUAUAUAUUGCUUAUUAUAUACUUGCAUAUAAUUGUCUCUUACACUCACUUGUUUAAAUUUGCAAAAGAGACCAUCACCCUAUUCACCCCCCAUCUAAGAUGAUUAUCUUAGGUUGGAUUAGCCUAAUAUUCCUAACAAUGGUAAUCUAGAUUGAGAAUGAAGAGUUGAUCCUACAAAACAUAAAGAACGAGAUAAGGUAUGACACGAGGAAAGCACAAAAGAAAUGUUAAUCUAUACUAAAAUGAGCAAGCCAUCAAAGUGUAAAAAGAUUGUCCAACUAUAACUCAAACUCAUACUGACCUCUGAGCAUUCUCAACUGGAGACCAAAAGAAGAAGUAUUGGGUUUAAAUUGUAACUAAAAAGACUUUGAAGGCCCUCAGAUGUACCUAUGUGUAGGAAAUAAGCCCUAGUCAAAGGAUCUAAGGCUCAACCUACAAGGUCAAGGUGGUUCUAAAAAGAUAAGGGUGGACUUUAAAAAAUCCAUAGUAGAAGCGAUCAUAUCCUCUGAUGGUACGCAACCCUUUGCACGCCUUUGAAGAGACGAGGUACUUCUAUGCAAGGUGAUCAUCACCUCCACACAUGCACUACCUCGACAUCCCAAGGGGUUUCCUAUAGUGAAAGCUUUCCUAACUCUUCACACUCAGUAGUUGACUAAAGUGCAUAGUGAGCCAUGUGAGUGCAUCAAAAAAUCCUAUGAAGCUAAAACAGAAAAUGAAACAUACUAGUCACACAAAUAUCCAUGAAAUCUAACUCUGGGCUAUACAGGUCUUCAAAGAUUGGACUCUAAUUAGCACCAGUAGUCCACCUCAUCUAGAACGCUCUCAAACAUUGAUAUAGCUCAUUGCUAGACCUUACUCCUAACCACUAGCUUGGUAAAAGAAACAAGCACACACAAGACCUCAUACUUGCAAAUUUAAGAACCGAAAAAAAAGAAAUGACCAAAACUAGAGGAUUGGAGGUAAGAUGAUAGAUGUGCAACCCAUACGAACAAACAAUAUGCAAUCACACAAAAAAAGAAUGGUCAUGCAAUAGGCAGUAAAGCAGAGCGCAAGUAUAUCAUCCAUGUCCAUGCACAAGCUAAACGAAAAUAUGACAAUCAAGAUGAAUAGAAACAAGGAUAGCAUGCUCAAAGAUGAUCAAGAUAAUAUACAAGCAAAAGAAUCAACACUAAGACAAACAAGAUAUACAGCAAUGUGAACAUACAUGUCAAAGUGAGUAGAAUAAUCAUGGUAAAAGCAAAGUCAAUAUGCUAAGACAAGCAAGAGAAUUAAUCAAUAUCAUCAGCAUGUCAAUGUCCCAAAUGGAUAUAGCAAUCAAGCAUAAAAAAUCACCACAUCAAAACUCUCAAUGUGUUAUGAUCACUCAAGCAUGGAAAAGCAUAAGAGAAUAUAUCCAUCAAUCGACUAAUCAAAAGUCAUAUUUGUCUCACUUUAGUUCAAACUUUACCCUUUAUGAUUCCCAACGGACUCGCCAUUUUGUGGAUCCCGCAUUUUUCACAUGCGUCCUCAUUUAAUAGCGAACUCGCUUUUUAUUUGUGAAAAAAAAAAUAUUUUUUAGAAAAGACUUGGAGUCGCCACUUAUUUUUGUUUUAUUUUUAAAGGGAAAACAAAAUAAUAAAGAAAACCCUAAAUAUGACUCCUUAUUUGGAAAAGAUAGUCUAUGAAAAACCGAGUCUGGAUCCGGGGGUCAAGUUACCUAUUGGAAAGGUACGAAAAAAAAACUGUAGCACCCCUCUAAGUCCGUAAAAAACGGGUUUCUACUAAAUAGGGUUAAAUAAGUGUGACAAUUGAUAAAAAAAAUCAAUAGAUACCAAUGAAAUGAUUAAAUAAUAAAUCAAAUCAUGCAUAAGAACGAAUAAAUAAAUGAAUAUGAUCGAGUAGAAGGCAUACCUUAAUCGCAAGUCGAGUGCUAUCAUGAGAGACAAGGUUAGUGCACAAUAUACAAAAUAAUUGCAUGCAUAUUUAUAGAGUAAAGCAAGUCAAUCAAGCAAUCAAUCACAGAUGUUGGGCCCCACCAAUGCCCGAUUGAUUUUGCAUGAAUUAAUCCCAUAAAUUCCAUUAUUUUGAAAUUAUGGAGAUUCAUGCAUGCUUAUUAAAAAUUGAGAAAAUCGAAAAUUAUUUGAAGAUCGAAGCAAAUUUAUGAAAGUGCAUGCCAAAGAGAAAAUGGAAGCAAAUGUUUAUUAAAAAUGGAUUUUGAAGUCCUAAAGAUAUCUAAGAAUGAAUUAUAAAAAUAAAAAAAUAAAUAAAAAAUAAAAAACUAAAGAGAUAAAAUUAUUUGAAAACUGGAUUUUUGAAAAGAAAAAAAAAAUUGAAAGCAAAGAUGAAGAAAUAAAUUAUGAGACACGUGGCCUUUGGAGUGAUGUACUAGAGGGUGGCCAUGCACGCAUGGGUAACAUGCAUGUGGGGAUGAAUGAAAAAGAGUUUGUUGGAGCAAAACAUCAAUUUCCAACAUAUCAUAUCACCAAAAAUCACUAUCAUUCUUUUCACCGUUGAUCACAUUCUCACCAUUGAUUAUCAUAUUGGAUUCUCCUUGCCAUCAUUGAUUCCUAACAACUUCACAUAAUUACCAAACCCAACUCAUAAUUACAAUCUCUCUUUGCUUUGGCCAUCCAUACCUACUUGUAAAUGAGUCAUGUCUUAUCUCUUGUAGUAACUUUUCUAAGUGUGGACUGCCACCACUAAACAGAGGUAUUCCAUUGAUAGUCGAAGCUACACCACUAUAUGAAUGGGAUUCAAAUUUGAUGAAGGAAUGAUUUUGGAUGAGUUGUGUGAAGGUUGUCGGGUAUUGAGAGUAUCAAGGCUAGAAACAAGCAAGAAGUGGUCACAUGUACAACAAGGUAGCCAUGCAUGCCAAUGGCAUGUACAUAGGAAAGAAUGGAAAGGAACUAGUGAGAAAUGAGUGGUGGAGCUAGGUUGUGUAGGUGUGUGGGGUUAUUAGUGAACAUGAUGAUGGGUUAGGUUUAUGGUGAUGCAAAUAGGGAGUGGGUGGUGAAAAUUGGUAGUGUUGGGACUGAAGCUGGGUAGUGUUUGAGGGUCCGUAUUGGGUAGAAAAAAUGAAGUUGGGUUGAUCAUGCAUGGGCAUUUACGUACAUGUGGAAAGAAAGGUAGCAAGAUGUUGAUAGCUAGGUGGGUUAGUUAUGAGGGAUGAUUGUGAAUAUGGAGAUGGGGAACAAAUUGAUGGCGGUGGGUAUGUGAUGAAUUUGGUGGACUUGUUGAGGAGAUGAUGAUGAACAUGGUAUAAGAGAUGAGUUGAAUGGGUGAGUGUCAUAUGAGAGAUAAGUAGUAGAGUAAAUGGGAAGUGGGUGGUGACUUGAAUACAAAGAAAACUUAGCAGCAAGCUGGAAGAUUGGGAAAUAAUUGGCCACGUGCCCAUGAACGAAGAUUACAUGCGUGUGGGGUUUAUAAUCAGAUCACUUUUCUUAGCUACUCAGUUUUCCAUGACUUGACAACUCUACUCUUCUCAUCUUCAACUUCCUUCCUCUUUGAAACUAUUCUCAUUCUCUCUUCCUCGAGGAGCCUUUCCCAAUCUAUUUCUUUAUGCUCUUUUUUCAGUCUCAUAUCCAUUUUUGAAUUCUCAAACCAUAGAACAUUUUUGCUUUAGUUUUCCAUUCCUCAUGAAGCUAGGAUUAAAAUUGCAAUAUUUCCAUUUUCAAAGGUUGGACUGUCACUACGACCAUCACUACUCUAGCUAUGUAAUCUACUUGGGACUUUAAUAUUGAUGCCAAAUCAACAUCUGAACUUUCCAAACUAACAGGAUAUUGAAGAAUGGAAAAAACCCAACAACAUGAUUGGAACCAUCUUUUGAAGACUUAACACCAAUUUUUUAACAAAGCUUUAUCUCCAAAAGGUAAUUGAACAUUUCUAUGGAUUCCAAAUGUCGAGCCCCUUGAAGCAAAGUCUACUGAAUAUGAUCUAUUAGAAGCUAAACCUAAUGGCAUUCUUUUCAUACUCACUGAAGUAGCAACAGUGGAGACAUAAGUCCACAAAACUUUUCACAACCAGUUGAACUUGCUCACACCAUAAUCAUUCAUUAAUCUCAAGUCUCUUAGCAAAAUAAUUAAUUUGUAAUCAUUCUCUCUAGUAUUACUGCCAUAUCUACCAAAAUCAGAGAUGAUUCCAGGAACAGUCACAACCCAUGAGAGAGGUCUUGGAGUACAAGGAAUAUCUAACAAGUUUCCAAAAGCUAUUUGAAUUUCCAAAUAGUUUUCAAAAUAAUGGUAGGAGUUUUUCAAAAUCAAAGAGAGGUCUUAAGAAAUAGAGCAUGCUCUAAACAAACAAUCCAUUAAACUAUACCUCAUUUCUUGUUGUACUCAAUGGAUCUAAGCAGGUGGAACGAACAAUGAGCAUUUGUAUGAUUAAUCAAAUAUCAAGCUCAAAGAAAACAACCCAUAUAUCAGUCAUUUAUAGGAGAAAUAUAAAAAAAAAACCAAAAAUGGAACAAAAUAGAGCAAGCAUGAAGCGAACUUAGAUUCAACAAAACCUAAUCCAUAAUAAACAAUGCUCAAGUAGCAAGAUGAAAUGAUGAAGAACAGUGAAAACGAGAAAGAAUGAAUAAGAAAUCUGCAAAAAAAAAAAACCAUACUUGAAGCUGUUCAUCUUAUCCUCCAAAGAUCGAUAAAUUUUCCUUCUCCUUGCUACUCACAACUCGCCUCAUUUCCCACAAACAUUCAGCCUAGAAUCCCUCAUCUUCUCUAGUUCCCAUUUUUCUCUGUUCUCUUAUCUGCUAACCUCUUCCUAAAUACUCCUCUCCAAAACCCAUCAAAAAUCCUCCAUGUCUAAUACUCACUCCUUUACCUUAUUUUUUUUAAAACCCCUAAAAAAUCAGUAG